CGGAAGUAGUAUAGAGUGGCGCACGGGUGAGUAACACGUAGGUUAUCUACCUCCGAGUGGGGAAUAACAACCGGAAACGGUUGCUAAUACCGCAUAAUACCGAAAGGUCAAAGCUUUAGUGCCUGGAGAGGAGCCUGCGGCAGAUUAGCUAGUUGGUAAGGUAAUGGCUUACCAAGGCGACGAUCUGUAUCCGGUCUAAGAGGACGGUCGGACACACUGACACUGAAUAACGGGUCAG
rnacentral:rRNA from 1 species